GUCCAGAGGCAUAUAUGAUCACAAGCACGGAUUGCCUUACUGAGGGAAUAACCAAUUCUGGAUGAUGACUAGCACAAUCCAGAGGCAAUAAAUUAGCAAUGAAGAUAUAUGAUCACAUGCACAUAUUGCCUUACUCAGAGAGAACCAAUUUGCACAGCAUGUAUUGGCAAAAAGAAAAGAGAUACUUGAUGCUUAGUGAGGCUGGAAGAAAGAAAAUCCCUAGAGCUACUUGAUGCUUCUUUCAAUGAGAAUGAGAGGCGUAAAGUUUGCUAGGGUAGCAGUACACUUCCCCAAGUUGAUUGUUGAAAAGGUUCGUAGUAUUCUUAAAAAAGAUGCUUCUAGUUUGCUUCAACAUUCACAACUAUAUUUAAUGCAAUUUUGCUGUUCAAUCGGAAGAAAGGACAAACUUCAAGUCAAUUAGUAUCUUUCAUCCAUCAAAAUUUAUCUGUUGGAAAUUUUAGGUUGAGUAAUAGAAUGUGAAUCAUGCAUAAUUUGUUUCAAUAAAAAAUUGUUAAAAACAGAUGAAGGUUCAGCAGCAAAAGCAUUUGGAAUGAGAAAUGAUAUUUCCUCGAUAUAAUAUUAAACUGGUCUUCGUAAGACCCUUGGCCACAAAUUAAGUUCCUUUGGUCCCUAUUCGUCGCAAUUAACUGAAUCAAGGCAUUGGCCUAAUGGUUGACAUCCAAUUUAUUUUGAAAGAUUUUGGGUUCAAAUACUUGUAAUGGUGAUGUCGAAGAAUUUGAGCUAUAUAAUUUUAUAGCUUGAGAUCCAUCUACCACUCUCCAGUAUUAAAAUGAAACACAGAAACUCAUGAGUCAAGACCUCAGACAGAUGUCACACUUAAUAUUUAGUGAGAUAAUAACACAUUGGUCGUAUGACAUGUUGACACUAAAAGAUUAAAGACAAAACUAUUGUUAGAAGAAUCAACUGUUGUCAAUGUUAAAUUAAAAUAUGAAAAAAAAAUUAAUUUUAAAGAAGCAACAAAAGUAAAAGAGGCAAUCAGAGGCACAAGUGAACUGGAUAUACAUGACAAAGAAUAUGCCUAAUAGCAAAAGUUUACCUUAAUCGAAACCUUGCUCUUGACUUGCGUCUCCAAGGCAUCUGUCAUAGACUGUGAGGAGAACAAAUUCAAAGGAAAAAGAACUUAAAAGCAUGACUGCUAAAAUCUCCAAAAGAAAAUUUUCCAGGGUUUAACUUAAAUUUACCUUAUCAAACUGCAUAAGGACUUGGAUAGCUAGCUCCGGGCUCAACGUACCGCUGGAAACCAUCUCAUCUAGGGUUUCUGUCAAGCACAUGCCAAUGGAGGACCUUCGGUACAAUUCAAAUGUGGCCAUGGCCUAUUCUAGCACUCCAAUUAGCAAAAGUUAUUUAGUAACAAAAGCUCAGGAUUUCAAAACAAAGAAAAGCAAAAAGGCAACAAUAAACAACUAGAAACAAAGAAUGGGCUGGUAUAUUUUAUUUUUUCUAUUAAGUGGAGGUAGCAACUCUUUAACAUAUUAGAAAUUGAACCGUAGCAGAAGAUUAACAUCAUAAAUAACAAUAAUAAAAACCACUAGAAAGACUUGACACCAAAAGGAUGCUUUAUAUAAUAAAUGAGGGCUUCGGAAUAACGACCAGCUCAAGAAGAAAAGUGAAAAGUGUAAGAAAGAAAGGGGGAAGUAGAUAUCACACUUCCCUAUGCCAUGAAAGAGGCAUUGACAUAACAGCAAGCAAAUGUUUAAAACAGCAACCCAAUUAGUAGACAAUGUCAAUUAGGAAAAGUUUUUCUAAAUACAUCUUUGAUAUAGUUGAAGCAUAUUCCCAGAGCAAAGCCCGUCAGAGCAUAAUUACUUGCCGAAUCAAGUAAGAAAGAUAUGCUCUUUCAUCCAAAGAAUAAACAGAAGAACGAAUCCCCUUUUACAUGGUAAAGUAGGAUGGAGAUAAAGACAUGCAUGAAACAAGCAACAGAUCUUUGGUCUUCUAGACAAUAAAAACAAAAAAAAUAUUUGUGUUUUAUCUUCUGUUUUACAGAACAUGUUUGGCAGUCACAUCUUCAUAACAUGGACAGGCACAACCUAGAGCUUCUAUCUUUAAUCUCCUUGUGCAUACAUGAAUUAUGUUUCAACAAUCGUUAUGUGCACAUUAGGCAUUUGUAAAUCAAGAAGCCAAGCAAAUCCAGUUAUAAAAAUUUAAGUGACUAAUAAAGAUCUAUGAUGGACAUUUUACAAUGCAGACACCUGCAAUUUUGAGUUUAGAAUGGCAAAUAAAUUAGAGAACAUCGUAUCAAUAAUGUCAUAAAACCAUACCAGUUCUAAAAAUGUAACCACACUUAAGUUUAAACAUCACAGAGCAUAUACAACCAUGGGGUUUACUGAAUAUGAGUAGGUGAAAAUACUUGUUUGAAUUGGCACUUACUCCAUCAUGAUUACAAGCAUCAUGAUCAAAAUUAUGUAAAGAAAGCUAGAUAAUAUAAAAUCUUCAUCCUUCAAUAUACCAUGUGCUUCGUCCUCUAAAAACCACUCAUAAGCCUCCAGUCAUCACAUGUCAAAAAAGAAACUAAAUAAUGGCAAACCAAUCAGAGACUUGAAUACAAUAAGGAUCGCGUUUUCUGCGAAUGAAGUAUCACAUGCCACGAUCUCUCAGCAAAGACUAACUCUAUCGAGUCUAAAAAGAAACCGUAAUUAACAUUCAAGUACUCGAACAACACAAAGAACCACAAAUCAAACGCUACAACCGAGACAACAUCCCAAACCCAUCAAAUCAAAGCAAAGUUGGCUUUUUUCGGUUCAUCCAAAUCGAACCAACGCCAAACCAAAAUCCACGAACAAAGGAAACAAAAUAAGAACUAAAACAAGGGGCUUCGGUUCCCGCGGGUAAGACGGAGGAAAAGGGAGAAGAAACGGAAGGAAAUGACCUCGGAUCGCGAUAUCUCGAGCUAAAACUCGAAUGCCGAAACCCUAAUCGCCUCAGGACGAGGACGAGGCCGGAUUCCCAGGGGCUUGGGGCGAUGGUCAAAGAGAGCUCGGCACGAGGGCGAGCUCGAAGAAGGAGAGGAAGAGAGGAACGCAGCGAGAGAUCGGCGUCCAACGGGGGAUUUCAAAUGGAGGAUUAUAUAAGCGAUGGCAUCGGAGAGGAAGAUAUAUACAUAGAGAGAAAAGGGACGGCUGGAGGGACUCUUUAAUUUCAUUGUUCGCACACUAAAUCUGUGCGGUGGGAAGAUCCACCGUCCGUUUGAUCAAUCUAAUGGAUCCUGGCCGUCCGAGCUCAGUGAUGCGAUCAUGCGUGGCUCUUGGACGCAUGACUGCGACCCCGAGUCGGCCCGGGUCGACUCUGUAGCAGUGCUGCAAACUCGGACGAGUAGGUCGAUUCGAAUCGGGCGUCAGGUUAUUGUGGACAACAAAAGCUAUAAAUACAAACCACAAGUCAAACUGGGUUUAAACAUUUGCAACGAGUUCUCUAUAACGGCUUUGGUGGCCGCAUGGUUUCCAUAAGAAUCGUUGUCUUGGUGUAUGCAAAAUGCUUGGAAUGAAUAUACCUUUGUCAUCGGCCCGUCCAACUCCGAUGACCACUGCGCAUGCCCACCGUUGUGGUGGCGCAGGCGGUGAUGACGAUGUCAACGAUCCGUCCCGCCGCAAGCAGAGCACACAGUCGACACCGACCCCGUAUUCCCGGCGGAGGAGGAAGUCGAAAAAGAUGGCGUUGGUAUUCCACCUACGCAAGCGCCAAGGAACAACAGACAAGCGCCAAGGAAGUACGAAGGGGCGGCUCCAGGAGGAAAGCACAACAGACAAGGAGAAGCAGUGGGAAGACGAAUUGGACCGGGGAACAGGCGAACAAGGAGGAGGAGGAGGGAGAAGAAGGUGCCGCGGAGGCACCAACGGCGUCAGGAGGAGCGGUCGAGGGGACUCGGGAAGCAUAAUACUAGCAAUAGUAUCAUAUAAUCCUAAUAAUUGAUUUGAUGAAAAUGAAAUGAGUUAUAAUACUUGAUAAUCGAUUAAAUAUAAAAAAAUAUAUUUUAUUUUAAAAUUAUAAAAAUUAUAUAUAAAGAUUUAUACAAAUAUUUUAAAACUAUAUACUUUGUGGAUUGAUUUAACGAAAAAUAUCUUGAUUACACUCGAGCGAGGUAUAUUCAUUCACCGUCCGAAUGGAUCCGAAAUGAAUCGACUCAUGAAUUUGUGACUUGAAAUAGUCUGAUUAUAAUAAAAAAAAAUUAAAAUUAAAAAAAAAUAUAUAUAUCUCUUGAUAAAAUCAAAUAUAAGGGUGCUACAAAGAUAAAACUCAUUACUAAGAAUUUUUAUUUUUCUUUGGUAAAUUGCCCCAUUACUGUUACAGACCAAUAUCAUCGAUCAUCGUUAGGAAAGUGGGAGGUCUAUCAAUGGAUUUCCUAACAGACAUCGACCCGCAAAUAAUCUCGCUCUGGGAAUUGCCAAUACCUAAAUGCAGUGAACUUAAUUGUUGAUGACAGACUGGUUUUGCUUGUGCUAUCAUGUGGAUUGCGAUGACGGAUGGGAUAGCUUCAUACUGAAACUACUUGUUGAGUUGGAAGUAUGUGUUACAGAGAUGAACCAAAUGUUCCUCUCAGGUGACCACAUUGACCUAAAUUUCUUGUGAUAAUUAAAUCACGACAUUUUUGUAUGAAAUUAUUCAGGUUUCAUCGGAAACCUACCUUUUCUUAGAUUUUAUAUCAAGAUAUGGAACUGAGGUUAGAGUCAUCAAGUUGGAACUCAUGACAAAAUGUCGAACCCACAAAACAUCCAUGCAAGAGUAUGAUUCAGGUUUAGAGUUUAAAACACAGAUUUUACACACAAAAAAAAAGAGCUAUCUCAAACUAUGUAAUGAAACUACCAUAUACUGCCACAAGUAAUGUUACAAGAUGACAAGUGGAUUACUACGAUCAUCACAAGUAACUACUAGAAUAUUGUGCGCCAUUGUAUUUUGAGUCCUUUUUGUACUGUGUCUCAAAAGCCAUAUCAAAACACACAUUUUGGAAUUUCCAAAAGCCAUUAGCAACUCCUGUUCAUGCACAUAAUAAGCUCCCUAGAUAACUAAGCAAAAAGACUCCAAAAAUGUCCCUGAUGCUCCAAUAAUAAUCCACCAAAAUGCAGUAGCAUGCAAUCGCACGUAAUUCAAGUUAAAUACAUGUUACAAACCUGCCACAGAGAUUAGGAGUUUGGCAGAGGGAUUGGUGUAUCUUAAUCCAAGAUGCAAGCAAACUUUACAUUCGUACUCAUAGUCCCCACGAGAACACAAGACAGGGGCUCUUCACUGUGUGAGCAACUUGGAGUCACAAGCCACAAUCUUCACUCUCUUGACUUGGUCGUGGCAGUCCUCGCUUUUGAAAACUGCAUCUUGCAAGAUGAAUGUCCACACAUUGUCACAGAACCUAUAAGUGUGCAGAUGACCCUGUAGAACAGUCUUGAGAAAAUAAGGUUUCUUGAUUACCAGGUUUAAUCAGAAAAAAAAAAAAAGGAAAAACUUAAACAUGAGGGCAUGAUAAUGGUUUGACUUUAUUCUAUAACUUGCAUAAUAUUGGUCUAACAGUGGGAGCUUAAAUCUUGACCAGAGAAUAGAGAGGCCAACUAUGGGCAUACUUGGCAUCUAUCAUGGGAUUUGGAUAAGUAGAAAGCACAGAAUAGGCAUGAGAUAACACAUAGCCGACUAUAAUGUCAAUAAACUACAGAAUAUUACUUAACGGUCAAAAUAACCACCUAUGAUCGGAUAGCUCUAAAUGAAAUAAAUCUUCACAUGAUAAAAGGGACUGAUGGACCUGAAAGAUUGAUAAGGGAAAAAAGGAAACUUCAGGUUUAAGAGGUAAGCAGUAGUACAUAUACAGCAAAAUCUGCAGGAUGGGAACUCCCAUUUCAAUAGCUCCAUAUGCAUAAUUUAGUAAAGCCAGAUAAGAUCAGAACUAAAAUAUGUCUUUUACCACUUAACUAGGAUGAUUUAGUCCAGAAUUGGAGUAUUGCAUAUUGCAUGAGUGCAGGUGCACAGUGAACUACAGUAUAUGCAGACAUGAUGAAAAUAGUUGGUACUCAUGACACACAACAGGCUGUUAAGUCAGUCAAAGUUUCCAGUCUGGUGGACUUGAAUAAGCGAGAUCAACUCAUCUUCAGAAAAAACCAUGCACAUUUCAGAAAUUUAGAAGGAAAGAAAAGUUCUUAACUAGUAGAAAACAGAAUGUCCUGGAAACAAGGUUUAGCAGGAAAUCUGUUGAUUCAUUAUAUGCGCUAAAUGCAUGCAUAUACCACAUAGACAACUAGUGAACCAUAUAUAUAAAUUACCCACAGAUAAGCAUAAAACAAGAGACAGAAUGUCCUCAAGUACAACAACUUUGGUCCAAUAACAAUGAUAUAUAUGUAUACACAUACACACACACAUCAUUGUCACCAAACAAACAAAAAGUCACUUACCUAAUGAUAUUUCAUUUCCAAAUUGUUAAUAAAAUGAAGAAAGAUUGUUUCUCAGCCUCAGACAACCUAGGGAUAAAAGAUACAAGAGAGUACAGGGUACAAGGACUUGACGGGUCAAUUUAUCAAUUACCUUUGAUCUAGAAUUUAUCAUGGGAUUUUAUAGUGUCAGCUUAAAAUACAAAAGUAACGUCAUAAAGUGAUCCGGAUGAACAAAUGUAUGACUCCUAAAACAUGUCAACAAACUACACACACCAAACACGUACAGAGAGUAUCAUAUCAUAAAUACACCAAUCCUUUGAUUUAAUGCUACUUUAAAAGGUUCACACUCAAGUUUCAGAUGCUAAGAUAAUCAAAGAAGCAAUCAGCGGCAAUGGUUUCAGGUGCUCACACAGACUAAAACCCUAUUUGACCCCAAAAAGCUAUGCUUCAUCUGCUAUUUAAGGCCCAAGAUUUGACUGAAGUCGAAGCACAGAAAGUAACGUACAUAUCAGCCUGAGCCUCGUCUACUAUUUCUCAUUAAUCACACAAGUUCAAGUCCAAGCGAUGCCUGAACAGAGAGAAUGAAAGCUAUGUGAUUUGAUGAAUAUGUCCAAGAAGGUUCAGAUUUCUUUUGGAAGAGUCCAGAGUCAGACCCAGUCCAGGAUAUUGGACUUUUUAUGGGAAUGGCAUGACUGGGCGUGCAACAUGCCAAGUUCAAUUUUGGUAGAAGUUGAAUGAAAAAAGAAAAAGAUUCAUGACUUGCUCUUGUAUUCUUAUGACAAUUCUUUUAGUAAUAUUUUCUAAUCCACAAAUAUAUAACUAAUAUAACAAAUUACAGAAGAAUACCUUUAGUAAUGAAAUUUGUGUAAAUAUUCAUUCAGUGAUUUAAAUGACACAACUAGCAAAAUGACUAGAAUGAGAUCACAACCGCUGAUCGCCUUACUGGGGGAACAAUCAAUCUUGCAAAUGACUAGAAUGAUCCAGAGGCAUAUGUGCUCACAAGCAUGGAGAACAACCAAUUCUGGAUGAUGAUGACUAGCAUGGUCCAGAGGCAUAUAUGAUCACAAGCACGGAUUGCCUUACUGAGGGAAUAACCAAUUCUGGAUGAUGACUAGCAUAAUCCAGAGGCAAUAAAUUAGCAAUGAAGAUAUGUGAUCACAUGCACAUAUUGCCUUACUCGGAGAGAACCAAUUUGCACAGCAUCUAUUGGCAAAAAGAAAAGAGAUACUUGAUGUUUAGAGAGGCUGGAAGAAAGAAAAUCCCUAGAAAUACUUGAUGCUUCUUUCAAUGAGAAUGAGAGGCGUAAAGUUUGCUAGGGUAGCAGUACACUUCCCUAAGUUGAUUGUUGAAAAGAUUCUUAGUAUUCUUAAAAAAGAUGCUUCUAGUUUGCUUCAACAUUUACAACUAUAUUUAAUGCAAUUUUUCUGUUCAAUCGGAAGAAAGGACAAGCUUCAAGUCAAUUAGUAUCUUUUAUUCAUCAAAAUUUAUCUGUUGGAAAUUUUAGGUUGAGUAAUAGAAUGUGA
rnacentral:lncRNA from 1 species